rfam:Listeria bacteriophage P100, complete genome.
GGAGUUAUGGUGAAAUGGCUAUCACUGCGGGUUUUUACCCCGUUAUUCUAGGUUCGAAUCCUAGUGGCUCCA